GUUAUCUGAACCUUCGGGGAACGAUAACGGCGUCGAGCGGCGGACGGGUGAGUAAUGCCUAGGAAAUUGCCCUGAUGUGGGGGAUAACCAUUGGAAACGAUGGCUAAUACCGCAUGAUGCCUACGGGCCAAAGAGGGGGACCUUCGGGCCUCUCGCGUCAGGAUAUGCCUAGGUGGGAUUAGCUAGUUGGUGAGGUAAGGGCUCACCAAGGCGACGAUCCCUAGCUGGUCUGAGAGGAUGAUCAGCCACACUGGAACUGAGACACGGUCCAGACUCCUACGGGAGGCAGCAGUGGGGAAUAUUGCACAAUGGGCGCAAGCCUGAUGCAGCCAUGCCGCGUGUGUGAAGAAGGCCUUCGGGUUGUAAAGCACUUUCAGUCGUGAGGAAGGCGGUGUCGUUAAUAGCGGCAUUGUUUGACGUUAGCGACAGAAGAAGCACCGGCUAACUCCGUGCCAGCAGCCGCGGUAGUACGGAGGGUGCGAGCGUUAAUCGGAAUUACUGGGCGUAAAGCGCAUGCAGGUGGUUUGUUAAGUCAGAUGUGAAAGCCCGGGGCUCAACCUCGGAAUAGCAUUUGAAACUGGCAGACUA
rnacentral:rRNA from 1 species